CCUACGGGUGGCUGCAGUGAGGAAUAUUGGUCAAUGGACGAAAGUCUGAACCAGCCAUGCAGCGUGAAGGAUGACGGCUCUAUGAGUUGUAAACUUCUUUUAUACAAGAAUAAACGGAGAUACGCGUACCUGUCUGAAAGUAUCGUAUGAAUAAGGAUCGGCUAACUCCGUGCCAGCAGCCGCGGUAAUACGGAGGAUUCAAGCGUUAUCCGGAUUUAUUGGGUUUAAAGGGUGCGUAGGUGGGCUGAUAAGUUAGUGGUGAAAGUUUGCGGCUCAACCUUAGAAUUGCAUUUGAUACUGUUCGGCUUGAGUACAGUUGAGGUAGGCGGAAUGUGUGGUGUAGCGGUGAAAUGCUUAGAGAUCACAAAGAACACCGAUUGCGAAGGCAGCUUACUAAGCUGCUUCUGACGUUGAUGCACGAAAGUGUGGGGAGCAAACAGGAUUAGAUACCCGUGUAGUC
rnacentral:rRNA from 1 species